CCUACGGGCGGCAGCAGUGGGGAAUAUUGGACAAUGGGCGAAAGCCUGAUCCAGCCAUGCCGCGUGUGUGAAGAAGGCCUUCGGGUUGUAAAGCACUUUCAGUGGGGAAGAAAGCCUUGGGGCUAAUACCCUCGAGGAAGGACAUCACCCACAGAAGAAGCACCGGCCAACUCCGUGCCAGCAGCCGCGGUAAUACGGAGGGUGCGAGCGUUAAUCGGAAUUACUGGGCGUAAAGCGCGCGUAGGCGGUCUGAUAAGCCGGUUGUGAAAGCCCCGGGCUCAACCUGGGAACGGCAUCCGGAACUGUCAGGCUAGAGUGCAGGAGAGGAAGGUAGAAUUCCCGGUGUAGCGGUGAAAUGCGUAGAGAUCGGGAGGAAUACCAGUGGCGAAGGCGGCCUUCUGGACUGACACUGACGCUGAGGUGCGAAAGCGUGGGUAGCAAACAGGAUUAGAUACCCCUGUAGUC
rnacentral:rRNA from 1 species